GGACCUGCAAAUACAACUGAUUAUCCUGAAGACAUACCACCUGUGGAAUGCCUGACCCAGGAAAUAUUACUUCUUUGGGAAAAAGUUUCUUCAGUAGAAUCCCAGGGUCAAGAAAUUUGAGGAAACCAAAGACAACAGUUGCUGUUGUUGCUAGAAGGACUAGUAGAUGAACAGAAUCAGCUCAGUGAGGACUUAGAUGCAAAGAGACAGCUCUCUAGCAGUUUGGUGAAGUUCCAUGCCCAUCCAGAGAGGGGCAGUGGCUCACGCCUGUAAUGCCAGCACUUUGGGAGGCCGAGGCAGGUGGAUCACGAGGUCAAGAGAUCGAGACCAUCCUGGUCAACAAGGUGAAACCUCGUCUCUACUAAAAAUACAAAUAUUAGCUGGGCAUGGUGGCGCGUGCCUGUAGUCCCAGCAACUCGGGAGGCUGAGGCAGGAGAAUUGCUUGAACCCAGAAGGCGGAGGUUGCAGUGAGUUGAGAUCAUGCCAUUGCACUCCAGUCUGGGUAACAACAGCAAAAUUCCAUCUCAAAAAAAAAAAAAGGUUUUCUUUGUAUCAGGAAAAUGAAGGCAGAGCAAAGGUAUGAUAGGACCAGUUGAUUUUGUGACUUUUUUUUUUUCUUCAGAAAAGCGAUUUAUUAGAGAGAGUUUCCAGACAAGUUUGGGGGUUUUUUGAGAUGGAGCCUUGCUCUGUUGCCGAGACUGGAGUGCGAUGGCACAAUCUCGCCUCACUUCAACCUCUGCCUCCCAGGUGUUGAAGCAAUUCUCCUGCCUCAGCCUCCCGAGCAGCUGGAACUAUAGGCACACACCAUCAUGUUCAGCUAAUAUUUUGUAUUUUUAGCAACAAUGGGAUCUCACCAUGUUGGCCAGACUGGUCUCAAACUGCUGACCUCAUGAACCACCCACCUGGGCCUCCCAAAGUGCUGGGAUUACGGGUGGGAGCCAACGUUCACAGCCAACAUUGGUCUUUUCUGGCCUUUGGACUCGAGCAGAAAUACUACUACUUCUUGUGUCUUCAGCCUGCCAACUUUCAAACUAGAACCUACACCAUCGUCCCUCCUGGUCCUCAGGCCUUCAGUCUCCAACAGCAGCUAGACCGUCAGCUCUCCUGGGUCUCCAGCAUUCUGCCUGCAGAUCUUGGGGCUUCUCAGCCUCCAUCGUCACAUAAGCCAAUUUCUUCUAAUAAGUCUCUUUCUCUGGCAUCUAUAAAUCUCCUAUUGGUCCUUUUUAUCUGGAGAAGCCUAAUACAGUGGGGCCAUGGAUCCCAGAGAGAAGGUAGGGGUGAAGCAGGGAGCCCCAUCCUAGCAGCUGGGUCCUAGGGCCCUCCCAGUCUCUUCUCUGAAGAAGUCCCAAGUCCUACCUAGAAUCUCAAAUAAAAAUGGCAACAGAGCCCGGAAAUGCCUUCUAGAUCCAUAGAGGAAGGGGUGUGGCUGGGUGACUUUCCACACUUGUCUGAGCUCUUUCCCCAGCAAGAAGACCCAAAAUCUAUCACCCUGUGUCCCCUACCCCAGCCCCAGGGAAACCUGGCUUUGUGGCUGCGGCUGAAGUAGGCACCUACCCCCCACUCCCUAUCACCACUGCAGCCCCCUAAGAAACACAUCUUUGUUGGCUCAAUUUGCUGGCAGGAAAUUCAGAGGGGCACAAAUGACCAUUCUCUGCAAAGAAAACCUGGGCUAAUUAGGAGCCGAGGUGGGGAGGGGAGUCAAGGUGGGACUCUGUGGCCCAUGGCGAGCAUGUCCAAGCCCCCCAUUUCUCAGAGAAGGUCAGGCUGCUCAAAUGGAGUGGAUGAAACGACUGGCCUCCCCGGGCUGACAGCUGGUGAGGAAAUUGUGGGUGCUGACUCGUAAACCCAAUGGCUCAAUAUUUAUCAGGCAAGCAAGCUUUCCCCAGGUCCAUCUAUCAACUGAAGAAACGUCCCAGCCAACACCAGAGGGAUCCAGCAUUGACGGGUACAACAGCCACUAUCACUUUCCCUGUUCUGUGUCCCCGCUUUGGUGGGCUCAGUGGGACAGAACUGGACCCCCUAACACCAAGAGGGAAACAUGUAAUGGGGAUGGGGACACUGCUCCCCUGCUGAACCACAGCAGCUGGUGUGAUUAUUAUGAACUUCUCAGUUCAUCAUAAGGUCUGGCGCUGCUGUAGGCAGGUCCACAAGUCAACUGGAGCAGACUCCUUUAUUCUCUGCUGCAAAGAUCCUCAGACUUCAAUGUGAAUCAGAGUGACUCGGCGUACUUGUUAAAGUGCAGAUUCUAGGGUGAUACCAGGUCAGAUUCUGAGGAGGUGGGGCCCAGGAACCUGGGCUUUGUUUCCUUUGGUCUGUUUUGAGAUGAGGCCUCACUCUGUUUCCCAGGCUGGAGUCCAGUGACACUAUCACAGCUCAGUGGAGCCUCGACCUCCCAGGCUCAAGUGGUCCUCCCACCUCAGCCUCCCAAGUAGCUGAGACUACAGAUGCAUGCCACCACACCUGGCUGUAUUUUAUGAAAUCUUUUCUGUAGAAAUGGAUUUUGCUAGGUUGCCUAGGCUGACUGCAAGCUCAAGCAAUCUUUCUGUUUUGAUCUUACAAAGUGUUGGGAAUACAGGUGUCAGCCAACGUGCCCAACCUAGAAUCUGUAAACACCUCCCCAGGUGAUUCUGAUGCAGGUCGUCCAGGAGCAUUCUUGGAAGCCCUUGCUGCCCUGGUCAUCCUCCCCUGUUCCCAGUGGCUCCCUCCACACCUGAUCUGGCCUUUGGCCUCCCUGGCCUCACCCCCCAUGGCUCACAUGUGCCCCUGAGGGAUGGGAGAAGGGACUCAGGCUGUUGUAUCGCUAGCCAAGGCUCACUCCUCAGUGUCUUUUCCUGCAGCCAUGGGGAGGGAAGAAAUGAUGGCAUUUGGGCCAGCCAGAUGGGAGCACACACAGCACACCCAGAUCAGCCAAACAGCUGUUCUUUGUACAGCCAGACAGUAGAAGAAAAUAGAAGUCUGAGGGCUUACCUUCUGCCAGGCCCCUUCAAGGGGACUGGGUGGAGAGUUAACCAUUCACUGAGCACUACAAUGUGUCUGGCCACAGGUGGUGCUUCAUUUAUUUAUUUAUUUAUAUCAUGUCUGAUCCAACCCCCGUCCUACAAGGCUGCUUGCAGAGCUGGGCUGGAUUGGAGCAUCUGGAGGCAACGUCACAGCCCAUACUUUAAGCCACAGUGCCCUGCUGCCAAAAGGAAUUCCACCGACUGACCCUCACUGGCCUAUUCUCCCCACCUGCUGCCUCAGGCCUCACCAUCAAAACCUAUCAGCUCUGGAUCCUGAAGCCCACAAAGCAGCCUUGGCAUCACUGGGGAGAAAACAACAAAAGCUUAAUAUAAGCGGCAACACUUACAGAACCUGUGAACUCUGACCAGACUCUCAGAUGCCCUGGCCUGAAGGGUCAGGAGGUUCCUGGAAACCCUCACUGCAGGCCUUGGCCAACCCUCCCACCGCAUGGCUUCCACCCUCCGUCCCAAGUCCUGGGUGUGUGAGGCUGGAGACCACAGCUGCCAAGUGCAGAAGAACGUCUGGGCCCAGCAGUCAGUCCGGCACCCCAGCCCCUCCACCACAGGGUUCAUAGAAAAUAAGAUUUCAAUGAUAUAUGACAAGUAAGUAUGGCCAUAAAAGCCAAAUUGGAUUUCUUCCUGGCUGAUGAGCUCAGGGCCCUAUUCAUUCUGAGAUGCGAUUAACAAAUCUGUAGAACAAUUCCCCCAACAUCUCAUCUUGGGUUCUUGCUGCAAGUUCAAGCUUGGGGUCAAGGGAGGUGGAGGAAGCAGGCAAUCUGUGCCUGGGGCAUCACAAGUGGCCCAGGGACUUCAGGUUGGAACCUUCCUGGACACGGGCCUGCUGUGUGGCCUAGCACAUGUCCCGUCACAUCUCUGGAUAGGUAGUUUCUUCAUCUGGUAGAUGGGGAGCGGGAAGAGACGCUGUCUAAACCCUCUGCCUCUGAUUCUCAGUCACCACCCAGUUGGGGGAGGCAGAGCAAAGGGAGCUGGAUGCUGGGAGAGGCUCCCCUUCACCUCUCUACAGAAUCACUGGUGGGGGCAGCAUGCAGGGGUCCUGAUGUCUUUAGAGGGGACACGCACAGGGGCCAGGCUAUGUGGCAAAAACAGAUGAAUAACCAUGUGCUAGGUGCCAUCAGCUUUGCUGGAACACAGCAGGUUGUCACUGGCCAGUUCCUAGCUCUGGGGAAGGCUUCGGAGACUGUGAUCCCUUCUGCAGCCUCAGCACGCCCAGACCACAAUCUGUGGGUCCAGGGAUGUUGCAAAACUCUUCCUUGCUUCGAACCACCCAAAGAGAAGCUGGAGAAUACAUGGGAGGCUAAAUGUGCUCAAACCUGCUAGGGGGCCACCAUGAGGGACUCCAGAUGGAGCUCUGGGAGAGAGCUGUACCCUCAGCCUCACUGCAGAGGACUGGGGAUGGAGAGGGGACCCUCAAGCACUGCCCCAACCCAAAUGCUGCUUUUCUCACAAAAUGCUUGGGAGGCUCAGGGUUGCAGGAACUAAGAACCAUGGCUCCCAGCCACAGAGACCAGGAAAGACCCAGCGAAGCCACCUGGGCUCAAAAAUCACAGACCCCUUCCCUCGCACCCCCACCCUGCUCACUGCUGUUUAUUGAUCAUCUCUGAGUGCCAGGCCCAGGCUAAUCGCAUAUCCUCCCCUGUUCCCAGUGGGACCCUGCUCAUUGGUGGAGUGCUAUCCAACGUCUCAUGGGCAUGCCCCUCCCCACGCACCAGUUCUUCUUUGAUAAUAGGGCUCUGUCUCCUAUUUGAAUUUGGGCAAGUCUUUCCUUCUCCUGGGCCUCAGUUUGACCCUGACCCUGGGCGGUCCGCAGUGCAGAGGAUGCCCACCCGGCUGACAUGGGUACCACGUCUUUUUGGCAGCAUCUUGGCAGUGUUUCCUUGGCACUCCUGGGAUUUUCUUUGCAAGGUUAAGAUUCUAGAGUCCAGCAGAGCUGAGUGUGAUCCCACCAGCAACACUUACUAGCGAUGUGCGUUGUGCAAGCAAAUGAGCCUUGCUUUGCCUCACCUGAUAAAUGGGGUGGUUUUCAGGGUCCAGCAAGAUAUGCGAUUAGCCCGGGCCUCGCACUCAGAGAUGAUCAAUAAACAGCAGUGAGCCUAUGACAAAGGGCCUUUUUCCUGCCCCUAUGGGAAGGAGGACCUCAUUCGUAGGUAAAGAAUCCACCCUCUCAGUGGCUCACUUGUCCAAGCCCGAUCCCAGUGCCAGCCUCAAUGUGCCUGUCGACAAAAUGGGAAGAUGGAGGGCCCCAUAGCAGCAUCCAGGCUGCUGAGUUCCCAAAGUAGACACAGCUGAGCAUUUCUGGGUGCAGGGGCAGAAAGAGUUUCAGUGCCAAGAGCUGGGGGCAGGACAGGGUUCACUGCCCAGCCGGGUCACCCUCGCUGGCAUUUUUGCCUCUCUAGGAAAAGCCAUCUUGUAAAGCAGAGACGACUGCUGACUUCCCACUCUGGUGGUGGAGAAUCUGAAAUGAGAAAAUGGAUUCUCAAAAAUCUCUGUUACUAAGUAAGCCUGAGAGAGUUCAAUGGAGGCAGAAACAGAUGCCUGCACUGAGGGACUGGACCCCUCUUACCUGGCUUCCCUGGGUCCCAGAGCAGGGCCUGUGACCAACAAACACCCCCCGCCAGGAGUGUCAAUUAGCUGGAAUCUGUUUCACUCUUAGGAAGAAGUGGGAAAUGCACUUACUCAUUCAUUCAUUCAACAGUUUUCUGCAAGUCCACUGGGUGCCAGGCACUGUGCUAGGUACCCAGGCUACAACUGUGAACAGAACAUUCCUGUCCUGAAAGAGGUCACCGUCUGGCUGGGGAGACAGGUAUUAAAAAAAGAAACAGGCAAACAAACACGCAGCUGCAAAUAUCCCUAAAUGCCCUGAAAGGAAAACUCAUGAGCCGAGGGCAUGCAGGAAAUAAAAAGGAGCUGGGGGAGGAGCAGGCAGGGCAGGCCUCCCUCUGGAGGUGACAUUUACCAAGGGUCCUGAGGACUGAGCCAGAGGUAGUCUGGUGAGGAGGAAAGGAAUUCCAGGCAAAGGGAACAGUGUGUGGGAGCUCUGAGCCUGGAGACCGGAAGGAACACUGGCAUGUGUGCAAGGACAAUGCCUGCGUGGCCCAGAAGCCAGCAAGGGGAGGAGUCCGUGGAAGCACAGUUAGGCAGGGUUAUCCUAAGGAUCUUGAUUUUUGAAAAUGGCCACAAAGGAGGCUCCUGGGGACUUAAACUAAAAUACACACCCCUGUUUUUCAAAGUGAUUCCCAGGAUUGGGCUUAUAGUCAAUCCCAUUUCACUCACCUUCUACCUGUUUCAAUCUGAAGGCACUGGGCAAUCUAGAAUCAGAAAUGGAUUUCAUUACACUCUGCACAUUGCACUAUGAAAGAAAAGGAAUGCUGAGGCUGGGCACAGUGGCUCAUGCCUACAAUCCCAGCACUUUGGGAGGCUGAGACGGGCAGAUUGCUUGACUUUGGAGUUCCAGACCACCCUGGGCAACAUAGUAAAACCCCAUCUCUACAAGAAACACAAAAAUAAGCCAGGCAUGAUGGUGCAUGCCUAUUGGUCCCAGCUACUCAGGAGGCUGAGGUGGGAGGAUAGCUUCGGCCCAGGAGCUUGAAGAUGCAGUGGGCCAGAAUCACACUACUGAGCUCCAGCUUGAGCAGCAGAGUGAGUUUUCUGUUUCCGUGAAAGAAAGAAAAAGAGAAAGAGAGAAGAGGAGGGAGAAGGGGAAAGGAAGGGAAGGAGGAAGGAAGACUUUUAACAGGAAGAUUAGAAUUACAGUUGGAUGUGAGGUUAGAGUUGAAUUUUAGGUUGGGUUUAGAGUCGGGUUGGGGUUAGAGUUGGUUUGGUGUUUGGUUGGGCUUGGGAUUCAAUUUAGGGUUGGGGUUAGGACUGGGGUUAGCAUGGGUUUGGGAUUAGGGCUGGCUUUAGGAUUGUGGUUGGUAUUUGGGUUAGGUUUGGUUUGGGGGUUAGGGCUGGGAUUAUGGGCCUGCACUCCACUAAGUAUACAUACGUCACUGGCCCCAAACAGAAUAGAUUUGUUUAAUGAAUGAAUUUCGACGUUUCAUUGCAAACCAGCAAGACAAAGUGACCAGCCAGCCUUAAUUCCAUGGAUAUUCUAGUUUUCUUCUUUGGAUUAGCCUAAGAACAGGCUAGAAAAAUUCACCUGUGCACUAAUUUCAUAUUGUUCUUUCUAAAGUGGAACUGAAAAGCAUACCACAGUAGGAAGCAAGAGAGACAUAGUCUGUGUGUGCAUUUCAAGCAGGUGACCAAGAAAGGAGAAUUGGGGCCCGGGAAAUGAGAGUCACAGGGUGGGGUGGAGGCAGGUCCCCAGCAGUUUUUAUUACAAGGCUGCAGGAAGCAGGGAGCAAGACACUGUCAGGAGGUCAGAGGAAUCAGGGCAGACUGGAAGGUGGAAUUUGGAUGAGGAUUUCAGGAAGGGAAAAGGUGGGAAGGUGAGCAGUAGAGCUGAAGAGCUGGGUGGGCCACAGGUCAUGGAAAGUCCUCUGAGCCAUGCAGAUGUAACUCGAGUAACUCUGGGGCCAUGUGGUCUGGAACUCUGCAGAGUCUCAUUAAAGCAGCUUGGGGCAGCACCUAAUAUUCUUUAUAGGGACUGUCAAUAUUUUUUAUGUCACACUAAGGAGAGUCCAAUUUAUACCCCUCGGCAGGACCUCUCAGCUCCCCACACCUCUCCCUCCAGGACCCUCGUACUGUGUGCCACCCCCACCCUUCUUUCUGCUCACUCGGUUCUUCUUCAGACCAUCCAGCUUAGCCUCAGUCACUCCAGUUCUUUUUCUUUCUGUUUUCCCAGAGUCCCUUUGAGAGAGAACAGCACAGCUCACCCAGCAAGUACACAUCUCAGCCUCUCCCAACCUGCUGCAGUCCCGUCCCCUCAGUCAUCCUCCAGAAGAUCCUGACCAGACUGGAAAAAAGGGGGUGCAUGGUGGAGAGCCCAACCGGCAAGGUGAGGACUCAGUCUCAUGAGACGCAGGUGAGCAGGGAACACUUCUGUAUCUUGUUCCUGUCCUAGUACAAAGAUCCCACUGUCUCCAUGGACAAUGGGGAACCAUGGGGGUUUUGAGCCGGAGUGGAGCAGGCAGAUUCAUGAGUGCCUGGAGAGCAGAGAUCUGGAUGUUUGUGGGCAACCCCUCCCCCACCAGCACCAACAAGAUUCUGCUUAAAUACGUGAUAAGUAGUCCGGGCGUGCUGGCUCACGCCAGUAAUCCCAGCACUUUGGGAGGUUGAGGCAGGCGGAUCACCAAAGGGCCGGAGUUGGAGAUCAGCCUGACCAACAUGGAGAAACCCUGUCUCUACUAAAAACACAAAAUUAGCUGGGUGUGGUGGCACAUGCCUGUAAUCCCAGCUACUCGGGAGGCUGAGGCAGGAAAAUUGCUUGAACCCAGGAGGUGGAGGUUGCUGUGAGUUGAGAUCACACAAUUGCACUCCAGCCUGGGCAACAAGAGCGAAGCUCUGUGUAAAACAAAACAAAAUAGAAUGUGGUGAGUAAAGAGGUCAGUGGUGAAUGAAUUCCGUUUUUUUUUUUUUUUUUGAGACAGAGUCCCACUCAGUCGCCCAGGCUGGAGUGCAAUGGUGUGAUCUCAGCUCACUGCAAUCUCUGACUCCUGGGUUUAAGCAAUUAUCUUGCCUCAGCCUCCCGAGUAGCUGAAAUUAUAGGUGACCACUGCAACGCCCAGCAAAUUUUUUUGAAAUUUUAGUAGAGACAGGGUUUCUCCAUGUUGGCCAGGCUGGUCUCAAACUCCUGACCUCAGGUGAUUCACCCACCUCCGCCUCCCAAAGUGCUGGAAUUCCAGGCAUGAGCCACCAUGUCUGGUUUUUUUGUUUGUUUGCUUUUUGAGACAGGGCCUCACUGUUGUCCAGGCUGGAGUGCAAUGGCGUGAACUCAGCUCACUCGCUGCAGCCUUGACCUCCCUGUGGCUCAAGCAAUCCUCCCACCUCAGCCUCCUGAGUAGCUAGGACUAUAGGUGCAUGCCACCACACCCAGCUAAUUUUUUUUUUAUUUUUGAAGAGAUGGGGUCUCACUAUGUUGCCCAGGCUGGUCUUGAACUCCUGAACUCAAGCAGUCUGCCCGCCUUGGCCUCCCAAAGUGCUGGGAUUUACAGAUGUGAGCCACUGCACGCAGCCGGGAGUGAGUUCUUGAACUCAAUGUACAGUCUGGAUUUUCGUGCAGGGCUCAAAGACUGCAGAACACUUGCACCCUCCCCAUCACCUCUCUCAGCCCUUGUUCCUCAUUCUUUGUGUCAGCCAGAGGUCUUGCAACAGUGACCUUCAAGCUAGUAAGGGAUGAGGGACCCAGGCUCCCCAACCCCCCACAGUGGAGUCUCUGGACUGGCUCCAUCAAUCUGCUGGGAAUGACCCCUGGUCCCCUAGGCAAGACCCAUGAUGCACGGGAAACCUCCUAGCAUUGGCUCUGGCUGUCAUUCUGGUUUCCAGCAACAUAUAAAAAUAGCUUCAAGGACGUGCAGGGCCUGGAGAGGGAGACCUGGCCCCUGGCUUCCAGGGGAGCUAGCUACACCCAACUCCCAUCUCUCCUUCUUCAAGGCCCCCCUGCUGCCCUCUUACUCUGGCUUUGAACCCUGCUCUGUAUUUACCUGUGGACUAUGGGCCUAAACCCACAGAGCUCCUCCAUCAGCAGUUCCAUCAUCAAGACAAGCAGUCGUAGAAGUCAUGAUGGGGAAGUGGCUUAAAUUCCUUCCACUGCCAACCAUGAGCUUGAUGAGAUCCACAGGGCCCCUGUGCAUGAUGGAAGCACAGAAGCUGCAGUCCAGGGCUGAGCCUGGAGGCUGCGGAUAACCAGGGAGCCAGUGGCGAGGGACGGGGCUGACCAGCUGUAGGGGCCUUGCAAGGCUCUGCCAGGUGCUUCCAGACCCCCAAAAACAACAGUGAGGCCAGUGUGUGCUCCAAACCACCCUCCAGCACCAUACAGAGCAGGCCCAGGGACUGGGAGAGACCUCAAUAGCAGGAGCAGCCCCAGCCAGGGUGGAAGGGGAGGAGAGGGGAGGAGAAACCCAGUGACCUCAGGCACCUGGUGAGUGCAGACUGUGCCAGGUGCUGUGGGCCCAUCCUCUCUGUGAAGGAGUGUCAUGAUUCAUACCCAAGAUACAAAUGAGCAGAGGGAGGCUCCGAGAUGGGUGACUGACCACACGGCACGUGGGGCACAGAGCUCACAGGGCAGAGGCAGGAUUUCAACCCCAGGGACUCAGGAGCCUGUGCAGGAAAGGCAGGGGCCCCUGGGUAAACACUCAAGGCAGAGGCCUCUUUUCUAACAUGCUUCCCAAAGGCCCCAAAAUAGAUCUGCUUACUAACGAGGUCUCCUCCCCUCCACUCCGCAAAUACCCAGGUUCCCAGGCCCAGCCCAGGGCGGGGCUGCAGGAGUCAGUGCCUGGCAGGACCUAUUUCUGGCUGCCACCUGGCCUGGCCACAAGCAGCCUUCUGUGGUGGCCUCAGCCACAGCCCACAGUGGAGGCACAGGCUUGGCCCAGCCUCCAAAGGCCGCAUUGUCUGGCUGCCUGGGCUACUGAGCCUGGCUCCUGGACAUCCGAGUUGGGGCAGAGGCUGACCUAGGGCAGAGGUGGAGGUCUCUGCGGACUGAGGGCCUCUGUGAUGGCCGCAGCCAGCUCUGAGGACGUUCCAGUGUCUGCUGCACCCUUGCAAGAGGAAAACAGUUUUCACCUUGGGAUGGGCCUCGGCUGGCCUCAGAGGUGAGCACAUCCUCCCCAGCUCACACACAGGCACACACACGUGCACACACAUACAUACACAUGCACACGCACACAUACACAUGUGUGGCACACAUGCACAUGCACACACACACAAAUGCCCUCACACGUGUACACACACAUGCACAUGUGCACACAUGCACAUGCACAUAAACGCACACACACAUGCACAUGCACUCACACACACAGGUGUCAACUGCUGGGUGCAGCCAUCAAGUCCACAGAGACAUGCAAAGGUGAGAGCCAGGCCUCAGCACCUGGUAGGCUGGGAUUCUCGUCCCAGCUUUUCUGUGAUAUCCUCCGAUACACAGGGCGUCAUCUAAUUUCCCAGAUAUUCUCAUCAGGGUCAUUUGUUCCAAGUCAGAAUCCAGGUAAGAUCUCCGUAUUGCAUGUGGUUGUUAUGUCCUAUUGGGUUUUUUGUUUGUUUGUUUGUUUUGUUUUUUUGAGACUGAGGCUUGCUCUGUUGCCCAGGCUGGAGUGCAAUGGCACCCUCUUGGCUCACCACAACCUCUGCCUCCCUGGUUCAAGUGAUUCUCCUGCCUCAGCCUCCUGAGUAGCUGGGAUUACAGGUGCACAACACCACACCCGGCUAAUUUUUGUAUUUUUAAUAGAGACAGAAUUUCACCAUGUUGGUCAGGCUGGUCUUGAACCCCUAACCUCAUGAUCCGCCUGCCUCAGCCUCCCAAAGUGCUGGGAUUACAGGCAUGAGCCACCAUACCUGGCUCCUCUUGCUUUUUAAAAAGUUUUCAUUUCAUGCCAUCGACCAUAUUGAAGAAACAGGGUCAGUAUCCCACAAAUGUCCACAGCCUGGAUUGGUCUGUUUGCUUCCUCACUGUCUUUCUUUUUUUUUUUUGAGACAAAGUCUCACUCCAUCGCCCAGGCUACAGUGCAGUAAUGCAAUUUUGGCUCACUGCAACCUCCACCUUCUGGGUUCAAGUGAUUCUUUUGCCUCAGCUCCCUGGGUAGCUGAGACUAUAGGUGCCCACCACAUUUUUGUGGUGUUAGUUUUUAGUAGGUGUUUUUAGUAGAGAUAGAGUUUCGCCAUGUUGGCCAGGCUUGUCUUGAACUCUUGACCUCAAGUGAUCCACCUGCCUCAGCCUCCCAAAGUGCUGGGAUUACAGGCAUAAGUCAUCAUGCCCGGCCCCUCACAAUGUCAUUUAACUUGUUUCUCUCUCCCUGUAUUUCCUGUGACUUAGGGAUGAGCUCCCUCUCUUUUUGAAUAACUGCUUAUUCACAUGCCAUAACGUUCACCUUUUUUCUUUUUGAGAUGAGGUCGCACUCUAUCACCCAGGCUGGAGUGCGGUGGUGCUAUCAGGCUCCCUGCAGCCUCAACCUCCCAGGCUCAGGUGAUCCUCCCACCUCUGCCUCCUGAGUAGCUGGGACCACAGGCAUAUUCCUUUACACCUGGCAAUUUUUAUGUUUCUGUAGAGACAGGGUUUCACCAUGCAUCAUGCUGUCCAGGGUGGUCUUGAACUCCUGUGCUCAAGCAAUCUGCCUGCCUCCAAUUCACCCUUUUAAAGUGAACAACGCAGUGGUUUUCAGUCUGUUCAGAAAGCUAUCCAACCAUUCCCACUGUCAAAUUUCAGAAUGUUUUUCUCCCCCAAAAGAAACUCGUUACCCAUAAGCAGUCACUCCCCAUGCUGCCCUCCUGCCAGACCCUGGCAGCAAUUCCUCUCUCUCUCUCUCUCUCUCUCUGUCUCUCUCUCAAUCUCUCUGUGUCUCUGGAUUUGCCUGUUCUAAACAUCUUAUGUCAAUGAAAUCUCAGGAAAUAUGGCCUUUGUAUCUAACUGCUGUAACUUAGCACCAUGUUUUCAAGGUUCACCCAUGACCAAGUAUCAGUACUUCAUUCUUUUUUAUUGCCAAAUAAUAUUCCAUUGUAGGAUAGGCCACAUUUGAUUUAUCCAUCCAUCAGUUGAUGGAUAUUUGAAUUGUUUCCAUCUUUUGGUGAUUAUGAAUAAUGCUGUUAUAAGUAUUUAAAUGCUUGGGCAGGCAAGGUGACUCAUGUCUGUAAUCCCAGCACUUUGGGAGGCAAAGGCAGGUGGAUCACUGAGGUCAAGAGUUUGAGAGCAGCCUGGCCAAUAAAGUGAAACCUCAACUCUACUAAAAGUACAAAAAUUAGCCAGGCGUGGUGGCACAUGCCUGCAAUUCCAGCUACUUGGGAGGCUGAGACAGGAGAAUCACUUGAACCCAGGAGGCAGAGGUUGCAGUGAGCCGAGAUUGCAUCAUUGGACUCCAGCCUGGGUGACAAGAGCAAACCUUUGCCUAAAAAUAAAAAUAAAAUGCUUGUAAUGUGCUUGUUUGUGUGUCUGUGUUUUCAGUUCUCUUGGGUAUAUACCUAGUGGAAUUGCUAGUUCAUAGUAACUCCAUAUUUACCUUUCUGGGGAACUGCCAAGCUGUUUUUCAAAGCAAAUGCACCAUUUGACAAUGCUACGAGCAAUGUAUGAGGGGUCCCCUCUCUUUACAUCCUCACCAGCACUUGUUUCUGUCCAUCAUCCUAUAAAGGUGAAGUGGCAUCUCAUUGUGGUUUUGAGCUGCACUUUCCUAGUGACUAAUGGUGUUGACAUGCAUGUGCUUGUUGAAAUUUGCAUGUCUUCUUUGGAGGAAUGUAUAUUCAAAUCCUUCACCCAUUUUCAAAUUGGAUUGUCUUCUAUUAGUGACUUGUUAAGAGUUCCUCAUGUGUUCUAGAUAUAAAUCCCUUGUCAGAUAUGUGAUUUGCAAAAUUUUCUCCCUAUUCCAUGAGUUAUCUUUUCAUUUCCUGGUGUCUUUUGAAACACAGACAUUUUUAAUUUUGAUGAAGUUCGCUUUGCUGUUUAUGUUUUGUCCGUGUGCUUUUUGUGUCAUAUGUCUAAUCCAAGGUCACAAAGAUUUACUCAUCUGUAGAUAUUUGAGACAGGGUCUCACUCUGUCACCCAUGCUGGAGUGCAGUACUGUUAUCUGGACACACUACAACCUCUGCCUCCCAAGUUCAGGUGAUUCUCCCACCUCAGCCUGGGAUUACAGGCACCUGCCACCAUGUCCCGCUAAUUUUUAUAUUUUUAGUAGAGUCAGGGUUUUGCCAUGUGGGCCAGGAUGGUCUCAAACUCCUGACCUCAGGUGAUGUGCCCUCCUUGGCCUCCCAAAGUGCUGAGAUGACAAGCAUGAGCCACCAUGCCUGGCCUUUACUCCUACAUUUGUAUCCAAGAGUUUUAUAGUUUUAGCUCUUACAUUUAAGUCUAUGACCCAUUUUGAGUUAAGUUCUGUAUAUGGUGUGAGGUCAGGAUCCAAUUUCCUUCUUUUGAUUUGGAUAUACAAUUGUCCACACCAUUUGUUGAAAAAAAUCUGUUCUUUCCCCUCAUUGAAUGGUCUUGGCACCUUUGUCAAUAAUCAGUUGAACAUAAAUGUACAGGUCUAUUUCUGGACUCCCACUUCUAUUCCAUUGAUCUCUAGGCUAUUCUUAUGCCAGUGCCACAUAGUCUCAUUACUAUAUCUGUGUAGUAUGUUUUGAAAUGAGAAAGCGUGAGUUCUCCAAUUUUGUUCUUUUUCAAGAUUGCCUGGCUAUUCUGGGUCUCUUGCAUUUCCAUGUAAAUUUUAGGACCAGCUUGUCAAUUUCUGCAAAAAGCCAGCUGGAAUUUUGAUAGGGAAUGAAUUGAAUACAUAAAUCAGUUUGUUUGGUAGUGCUAUUUUAACAAUAUUAAGUCUUCAAAUCCAUGAACACAGGGUGUCUUUCUGUUUACUUAAGUCUUCUUUUUUUUUUUUUUGAGAUGGAGUCUCCCUCUCUUGCCAGGCUGGAGUGCAGUGGUGUGAUCUCAGCUCACUGCAACCUCUGCCUCCUGUGUUCAAGCAAUUCUCCUGCCUCAGCCUCCUGAGUGGCUGGGAUUACAGGUGCACACCACUACACUGUUAAUUUUUUUAUUUUUAGUAGAGAUGGAGUUUCACCACAUUGGCCAGUAUGGUCUCAAUCUCCUGACCUCAUGAUCCACCCACCUCAGCCUCCCAAAAUGCUGGGAUUAAAAAGUGCCCAGCCUAAUUAGGUCUUCUUUUAAUUUCUUUUUUUUUUGAGACAGAGUCUCACCCUGUUCCCCAAGAUGGAGUCCAGGGACAUGAUCACAGCCCACUGCAGCCUCAACCUCCCAGGCUCAAGUGAUCCUCUCACCUCUGCCUCCAAGUAGCUGGAAUCACAGUCACAUGCCAGCAUGCCUAGCUAAUUUUUUUUAUUUUGUAUAGACAAGCUCUCCCUAUGUUUCUCAGGCUUGUCUUGAACUCCUGGGCUUAAGCAAUCCUCCCGGCUCUGCCUCCCAAAGUCCUAUGAUUACAGUCAUGAGCCACCAUGCCUGGCUUCUUUACAUUUCUCUCAACUAUGUUGCAUACA